UACGUAGGGUGCGAGCGUUGCCCGGAUUUAUUGGGCGUAAAGGGCGCGUAGGCGGCUCGGCACGUCCGUUGUGAAAUCGCUCGGCUCAACUGGGCGAGGUCAGCGGAUACGGUCGAGCUUGAGCCAGCUAGGGGGCAAUGGAAUUCCCGGUGUAGUGGUGGAAUGCGUAGAUAUCGGGGAGGAACACCAGUGGCGAAGGCGGUUCUCUGGGCAUUACCUGACGCUGAGGAGCGAAAGUGUGGGGAGCGAACAGG
rnacentral:rRNA from 1 species